AUAUACAGUAAUUAUUAAUGGGGAAAAAUAUAUUAAAUAUUUCGAAAUAAUUUAUUUGGAAAAUCUAAAAGACAUGUCUGAAAAUAUACUUAUAUGUUCAUAUUGUAACAAAGAAAACACACAACUGAUGUACCAGCUAGUAAUCUAACUGAUAUCUUGCCAUUAUUAUGAAUAAAACAAAUUUUUAUGACUUAAACCUAUUGUCAUGUUAAUAUAAGAAGAUAUUCCGAGAGAAAAAAUGACCAUUAAGAAGACCAAGAAUGCGG